rnacentral:rRNA from 1 species
CAAGCGGUGGAUGAUGUGGUUUAACUCGAUGCAACGCGAAAAACCUUACCUACCCUUGACAUGCCAGGAACUUGCCAGAGAUGGCUUGGUGCUCGAAAGAGAGCCUGGACACAGGUGCUGCAUGGCCGUCGUCAGCUCGUGUCGUGAGAUGUUGGGUUAAGUCCCGCAACGAGCGCAACCCUUGUCAUUAGUUGCUACGAAAGGGCACUCUAAUGAGACUGCCGGUGACAAACCGGAGGAAGGUGGGGAUGACGUCAGGUCCUCAUGGCCCUUAUGGGUAGGGCUACACACGUCAUACAAUGGCCGGUACAGAGGGCUGCCAACCCGCGAGGGGGAGCCAAUCCCAGAAAACCGGUCGUAGUCCGGAUCGCAGUCCGCAACUCGACUGCGUGAAGUCGGAAUCGCUAGUAAUCGCGGAUCAGCUUGCCGCGGUGAAUACGUUCCCGGGUCUUGUACACACCGCCCGUCACACCAUGG